rnacentral:rRNA from 1 species
AAUCUGCCCUGCACUCUGGGACAAGCCCUGGAAACGGGGUCUAAUACCGGAUAUGACCGUCUGCCGCAUGGUGGAUGGUGUAAAGCUCCGGCGGUGCAGGAUGAGCCCGCGGCCUAUCAGCUUGUUGGUGAGGUAGUGGCUCACCAAGGCGACGACGGGUAGCCGGCCUGAGAGGGCGACCGGCCACACUGGGACUGAGACACGGCCCAGACUCCUACGGGAGGCAGCAGUGGGGAAUAUUGCACAAUGGGCGAAAGCCUGAUGCAGCGACGCCGCGUGAGGGAUGACGGCCUUCGGGUUGUAAACCUCUUUCAGCAGGGAAGAAGCGAAAGUGACGGUACCUGYWKAAGAAGCGCCGGCUAACUACGUGCCAGCAGCCGCGGUAAUACGUAGGGCGCAAGCGUUGUCCGGAAUUAUUGGGCGUAAAGAGCUCGUAGGCGGCUUGUCACGUCGGUUGUGAAAGCCCGGGGCUUAACCCCGGGUCUGCAGUCRAUACGGGCAGGCUAG